rnacentral:rRNA from 1 species
CGGAGGAUCCAAGCGUUAUCCGGAUUUAUUGGGUUUAAAGGGUGCGUAGGCGGCUUAUUAAGUCAGGGGUGAAAGACGGUGGCUCAACCAUCGCAGUGCCCUUGAUACUGAUGAGCUUGAAUGGACUAGAGGUAGGCGGAAUGUGACAAGUAGCGGUGAAAUGCAUAGAUAUGUCACAGAACACCGAUUGCGAAGGCAGCUUACUAUGGUUUAAUUGACGCUGAGGCACGAAAGCGUGGGGAUCAAACAGGAUUAGAUACCCUGGUAGUCCACGCCCUAAACGAUGAAUACUCGCUGUUAGCGAUAUACAGUUAGCGGCUAAGCGAAAGCGUUAAGUAUUCCACCUGGGGAGUACGCCCGCAAGGGUG